UACGGGGGGGGCAAGCGUUGUUCGGAAUUACUGGGCGUAAAGGGCUUGUAGGCGGCCAACUAAGUCAGACGUGAAAUCCCUAGGCUCAACCUAGGAACUGCGUCUGAUACUGGAUGGCUUGAAUCCGGGAGAGGGAUGCGGAAUUCCAGGUGUAGCGGUGAAAUGCGUAGAUAUCUGGAGGAACACCGGUGGCGAAGGCGGCAUCCUGGACCAACACUGACGCUGAGGAGCGAAAGCCAGGGGAGCAAACGGG
rnacentral:rRNA from 1 species